GCCGAAGUGGCGGAAUUGGCAGACGCGCUACAUUCAGGGUGUAGUCCUCUACGGGGGGUCGGGGUUCAAGUCCCCGCUUCGGCACCA
rnacentral:tRNA from 1 species